rfam:Oryza sativa Japonica Group DNA, chromosome 1, cultivar: Nipponbare, complete sequence.
UAUAAGUGCAGCCAUAAGUUUCCGUGCCCAACGUUUGACUGUCCAUCUUAUUUGAAAAAUUUAUGAAAAAAAUUGAAAAGUUAAGUCACGCAUAAAGUACUAUUCAUAUUUUAUCAUCUAAUAACAAUAAAAAUACUAAUCAUAAAAAUAUUUCAAAUAAGACGGAUAGAACUGCGCUUAUUAUGGGACGGAGGGAGUAUGU